rnacentral:rRNA from 1 species
GAUGAACGCUAGCGGGAGGCCUAACACAUGCAAGCCGAGCGGUAUUGUUUCUUCGGAAAUGAGAGAGCGGCGUACGGGUGCGUAACACGUGUGCAACCUGCCUUUAUCUGGGGGAUAGCCUUUCGAAAGGAAGAUUAAUACUCCAUAAUAUAUUGAACGGCAUCGUUUAAUAUUGAAAGCUCCGGCGGCUAGAGAUGGGCACGCGCAAGAUUAGCUAGUUGGUGAGGUAACGGCUCACCAAGGCGAUGAUCUUUAGGGGGCCUGAGAGGGUGAUCCCCCACACGGGUACUGGGACACGGACCAGACUCCUACGGGACGCAGCAGUGAGGAAUAUUAGUCAAUGGGUGCAAGCCUGAACCAGCCAGCCCGCGUGAAGGACGACUGCCCUAUGGGUUGUAAACUUCUUUUGUAUAGGGAUAAACCUACCCUCGAGAGGGUAGCUGAAGGUACUAGACGAAUAAGCACCGGCUAACUCCGUG